UACGGGGGGAGCAAGCGUUGUUCGGAUUUACUGGGCGUAAAGGGCGCGUAGGCGGCGCAACAAGUCACUUGUGAAAUCUCCGGGCUUAACCCGGAGCGGUCAAGUGAUACUGUCGUGCUAGAGUGCAGAAGGGGCAACUGGAAUUCUCGGUGUAGCGGUGGAAUGCGCAGAUAUCAGGAGGAACACCGAUGGCGAAGGCAGGUCUCUGGGCUGACACUGACGCUCAUGCACGAAAGCGUGGGGAGCAAACAGG
rnacentral:rRNA from 1 species